GCGCCCAAUGGGAAUCUCAAUGGGAAUCUGAUGGGAACCAAUAUGGCGUCCAAUGGGAACCAAUGGGAACCAAUAUGGCGCCCAAUGGGAACCAAUGGAACCAAGAUGGCGUCGAAUGGGAACCAAUGGGAACCAAGAUGGCGCCCAAUGGGAACCAAGAUGGCACCCAAUGGGAACCAAUGGGAACCAAGAUGGCGCCCAUUGGGAACCAAGAUGGCGCCCAAUGGGAACCAAGAUGGCGUCCAAUGGGAACCAAUGGGAACCAAGAUGGCGCCCAAUGGGAACCAAGAUGGCGUCCAAUGGGAACCAAUGGGAACCAAGAUGGCGUCUAAUGGGAACCAAUGGCAACCAAGAUGGCGCCCAAUGGGAACCAAUGGGAACCAAGAUGGCGCCCAAUGGGAACCAAUGGGAACCAAGAUGGCGCCCAAUGGGAACCAAUGGGAAAGGAAACGUAAUGGGAUCUCAAUGGGAUUCCUAUGGGAUUCCUAUGGGAUUCCUAUGGGAUCUCAAUGGGAUUUCAGUGGGAUUCCUAUGAGGUUUCUGUGGGAUCUCAAUGGGAUCUCAUUGGGAUUUUUAUGGGAUUUCCUAUGGGAUUGCUAUGGGAUUUCUGUGGGAUUUCAGUGGGAUUUCAAUGGGAU
rnacentral:lncRNA from 1 species